AACGCACCUUGCGCCCUUUGGUAUUCCGAAGGGCAUGCCUGUUUGAGUGUCAUUAAAUUAUCAACCUUGCUCGCUUUUACCGGCUUGAGUUAGGCUUGGAUGUGAGGGCUUGCUGGCUUCCUUCAGUGGACGGUCUGCUCCCUUUAAAUGCAUUAGUGGGAUCUCUUGUGGACCGUCACUUGGUGUGAUAAUUAUCUAUGCCAUCUGACCUUGAAGCAAAACUUAUGGGAACCCGCUCAUAACCGUCUUCGGACAACUUUUGACAUUUUGACCUCAAAUCAGGUAGGACUACCCGCUGAACUUAA
rnacentral:misc_RNA from 1 species